rnacentral:rRNA from 1 species
UACGGGGGGGGGCAAGCGUUGUUCGGAAUUACUGGGCGUAAAGGGCUCGUAGGCGGCCAACUAAGUCCGACGUGAAAUCCCAAGGCUUAACCUUGGAACUGCGUCGGAUACUGGAUGGCUUGAAUUCGGGAGAGGGAUGCAGAAUUCCAGGUGUAGCGGUGAAAUGCGUAGAUAUCUGGAGGAAUACCGGUGGCGAAGGCGGCAUCCUGGACCGACAUUGACGCUGAUGAGCGAAAGCUAGGGGAGCAAACGGGG